rnacentral:rRNA from 1 species
GCUUGGGGAGUACGGUCGCAAGAUUAUAAACAUCAAAGGAAUUGACGGGGACCCGCACAAGCGGUGGAUGAUGUGGAUUAAUUCGAUGCAACGCGAAAAACCUUACCUACCCUUGACAUGUCUGGAAAGCCGAAGAGAUUUGGCCGUGCUCGCAAGAGAACCGGAACACAGGUGCUGCAUGGCUGUCGUCAGCUCGUGUCGUGAGAUGUUGGGUUAAGUCCCGCAACGAGCGCAACCCUUGUCAUUAGUUGGUACGCAAGAGCACUUUAAUGAGACUGCCGGUGACAAACCGGAGGAAGGUGGGGAUGACGUCAAGUCCUCAUGGCCCUUAUGGGCAGGGCUUCACACGUCAUACAAUGGUCGGGACAGAGGGUCGCCAACCCGCGAGGGGGAGCCAAUCUCAGAAACCCGAUCGUAGUCCGGAUUGCAGUCUGCAACUCGACUGCGUGAAGUCGGAAUCGCUAGUAAUCGCGGAUCAGAAUGUCGCGGUGAAUACGUUCCCGGGUCUUGUACACACCGCCCGUCACACCAUGGGAGUGGGUUUCACCAGAAGUAGGUAGCCUAACCGCAAGGAGGGCGCUACCCACG